rnacentral:rRNA from 1 species
UUGUUUGGCGACCAUAGCACUUUGGACCCACCUGAUUCCAUCCCGAACUCAGAAGUGAAACGAAGUAGCGCCGAUGGUAGUGUGGGGUUUCCCCAUGUGAGAGUAGGACAUCGCCAGGCUUGAU